rnacentral:rRNA from 1 species
GAUCCUGGCUCAAGAUGAACGCUAGCUACAGGCUUAACACAUGCAAGUCGAGGGGCAGCAUGGUCUUAGCUUGCUAAGGCCGAUGGCGACCGGCGCACGGGUGAGUAACACGUAUCCAACCUGCCGUCUACUCUUGGACAGCCUUCUGAAAGGAAGAUUAAUACAAGAUGGCAACAUGAGUCCGCAUGUUCACAUGAUUAAAGGUAUUCCGGUAGACGAUGGGGAUGCG